rnacentral:rRNA from 1 species
UCAUUAGUUUUUUAAUUGAAAGCUUGUAUGAAUGGUUUGAUGAGGAAUUAACUUUCUCCAUUUAAAUUAAAGAAAUUUAUUUUUAAGUUAAAAAGCUUAAAUAUGAUUAAUAGACGAGAAGACCCUAUAAAAUUUAAUUAAUUAAUUAUUAUAGUUUUUUAUUAUUUAAUUCAAUUAAUUUUAUUAUUUAAUUUAAUUGGGGUGAUUAUAAAAUUUAUUAAACUUUUAUUUAAUAACAACAUAAAUUUAUGAUUCAAUGAUCCAAUAUAAAUUAUUGAUUAUAAGAUUAAAUUACUUUAGGGAUAACAGCGUAAUUUUAUUUUAGAGUUCUUAUUAAAAAUAAAGAUUGCGACCUCGAUGUUGGAUUAAAAUUAAUUUUUGGUGUAGAAGCUAAGC